UAGCUUAGUUGGUUAGAGCAUGGUGCUAAUAACACCCAGGUCACGGGUUCAAUCCCCUU
rnacentral:tRNA from 1 species